AUUUACGAGACUUGCUCGACCUGUAGAUUCUUGUUUAUGUGUAUUCCUUAUGGAUGAUUUACAAAAACAAGAGAUUUUUUAAAAUUUAACUACUGAUUUUGUGCUAAUGUAUCAAUACAUUAAUAGAAAUUUACUAUAAAUACUCUAUAUGGUAGAAAAUGUCUGAUAUACUACAUAAAUAUAAUUUCGAUAUUCAAAUUUAGGAAGAGAUUUUGAGGUUAACAGCCGAAAUGUGAGGUUGCGACUGAUCAUUUUGUAAACAAAAGUUGAAAAGACAUGUUUGUCCUCCUAAUCUUAACUGUUUUUAAUACCUAUAAUGUUGAAAUUUUGCUUUCUCUAUUUAAUUAGAGUAUUUUUUAAGAUAUCACCGUAAUUCGGUCUUAAAUUUCGAUGAAAUAUAGUUUUUUAGUGAUAUUCUCCAAGCAAAAGGGUGAACUUUUGUAAACCAUUCUAUUUUUUAUAAUAAAAAUGAUAAUUUGCUUUGCCCCGGACUGUAAACACUAUAAUGAAAGAUGGUUAUGUAGAUUCUUUAUGUUUACAAAGGAUCUAGUUGAAAAAAAGAGGUAGAUUUCAUUACUAAGUAAGAAAAUAUAGUGAUAGUAAAGAACUGAAUUUAUCCCUUUAUUACUAUUGACUCACAGACGGAAAGAUAGGGAACCAUUCUUUAGUUUGCUGGUGCCACUUUGUGAAUUCUGACCAACAAAAUGACCCAACAUUUUUAGAGCAUAUCAAGCCAAAGGUUUUUUUGAUGGACAAUUAACCUUUACAUCUAAAUUAAAAGAGUAAAGUAUAUUUUGCUUCUUGAAAUGGCAUUCAAUAUCAACUUGAGAAAGAAACAGUUUGAUUUGUUGGUAAUGACCGAAGAUGAAAUCCAAGAACUUAUGGAUUCUGUUGAAACUGAUUGGAAAAAAGCAAAACAUCCCAUUGAUGACAUUCGCGGUGACAGUAUUGAUCACUUUCCACUUUAGCUCAGCAAAGAGGAUGGUAAAAAAAUGCAGCCAGGAGAAGGGCAUGGCUCUAACCCUCAACAAUGAGCAUUACAGAAAAUUAACAGUUCCCUAGGUAACCAUCCACUGAAAAUCUUAGAAGAAUAAUAGAGCCCCCAAGGCAACCAUAAGAGUAAUUGUUGACAUUACCGCAGUUCAUCAGGUAACCAUAUUGUCUUAUUUGGACCUACCAUCUGACCCCUACUGAAGAUCGUAAAGAACUCAAGACAGCACCUUAAGAAGCCUUCAGACCAUCAGCUAAGAUCCUUAAUAAAAUAUAUAGCUGGCCUGUAAACAUAGACAGACUAUUUUUAUAUAAAGUAACAUCAUAAAUUCUAAAAUGUAGAUCUUGAAUUGUGACCAUAAUAAAAUGAGAAAAUAAAGCAUUUAUACUGAA